CUGUGAGGGGUGCAGAUUCGAUUCAUUUCAUGAUUUAGUUGCCUUCCUUCCACUUGAAUCAGGAAAGGAAGGCAACCAUUAGUUUUAGUUGCCUUCCUUCCAGUGGAAUCAUUUCAUCAGAUUUAGUUGUCUUACUCUUACGGAUUCUGCUAUUGAAUCAGGAAAGCUUGCGUCGUGACAUUGGUUUCUCUAAUCUUCUGGAUGUGCACUGCCGCUACUCACAAAGGAAACACUGUAUGAGACACAGGUUUUUAUUCAUUUAUUUUGCCCAGACACCAAGGUAAACAUUUCUUUGACUCUAGGAAGAAUGGUCGAUGCGUUCAAAGUAGUCUUUAUCAAGUUCGAAUGAAAUUUAAUGUUUUCCCUUAAACUUGCACAAAAUGUUCUAAUUAUAUAUAAUCUCCUUCAAGUAUUAUUUCUAACUUCGUUGCUUUCAUGUUCUUAAGCGAUCUCUCUAUAAUUUUUUUGGCUGAUCAAGUUAUUUAAAUACUUAAUUUUAGUAUUUCUGUCUGAUGGGUAGAAAUUUUUAUGUGUCAGGUAAGGACAUGAACUCCUGGCGUAGUGAAGUUGAGAUGAACAUUAUAAAAUUACAGAUCCUAAGGGACUAUAGGAGGUUUCGGGGAGGUUGAUCUUUGCGGACGAAUACUCAAGGAUAUAAUAUUAGGAACCGUACACGGAGGGUUUAGAGUCGGUGGCAAUCAGGGUGGAGCAAACGUAAUUGCCUUCUACCGUGAAAUAUAACGUGGGUGCCACGGUCACUUCCAACGCCUCGAAAUGGAAUCUGUGCACUGCCACCGUCG